AGAUCUGUGGUAGCUCAAUGGUUAAGACGUCAGACUACUGUUCAGAAGCUCGUGAGUUCAAAUCCCUGGUCUG